UGAUCUGACAAUGUUAUGAUUUGAGAAGAUUCUCAAAUCAAAUGUUAAAAAACUCCAAAUCCAACUAACAUAGAGAAACUUCAUAGAUGGUGGUGAUAUGCAGAACUUUGUAAUCUUGCUGACUUUAGUCAACGAGAUCCCGCCCUCUGUUUGUUAGCCCCUCCUCCCUUGCUUGAAACUUUUGCUUUGAAAAUAGAGCCGCCGUCGCUGCUCAAUUGGCGAUCCAGUAAAGUCGUCGUUGCCCAACGCCUACCCAACACCAUUCUUUCAAGAUUUUUCUUAAUUGUAUGCUAUUGAACUGUUGGAUGAUUUGCUUGAAUGAUUUUAAUUUCUUGCUUCUUAGUUUCCCGGCAAAUUAGACAUGUUGAUCACAACUUUUGGGAGUUUUUAAGAAGCUUGCACUAAAAUAUGGAUGGGAACUACAAGAUGUCUAUAUCUGUUCUUAUUGGAAAGUAAAAGAAGCCGUCAAUUAGCAAUCCAGUAAAGACGUCGUUGCCCACCUUUGCCGGUGCUCAGAGUCGGAUGACAAAGAAGCAGGUACCUCCCAAAAAGGUUCUUUUGAACUAAACUCUGAAGAAUUUUUCAACCAGUGGAAGAGCGCUCAAAGGCUAGAUGAAAAUACAAUACGCAAGGAGAUCAUCGCCACAACAAAUACAGAAGGAUCAAAGAGUAAAGAAACUCCCACAUCACACAGGGAUGACGGAAAUCAGACUCGGGAUAAGUCUAAUUUUCCUAAUGAGGAUGAUGAAGAAGGAAAUGCCUCCAAAAAAGGCUCUUGGGGACUCAAUUCUACAGAACGUUUCAACCAGGGGAACUGAGUCCAACCGUAAAUCGAAUAUAUAAGACGUGCGGUUGAUGAAACCCCGUAUUAUGGUAGAGACACCCGUCGUAGAAGACCAGUUGCAGAGUCUGAUUUUGGUGACAAAGAAGGAAAAGCCUCCACAGAAGGCUCUUCUGGAUUUAUAGAAACUUUCAACCAGUGGAUUCGAGCGCUAGAUAUUCGUCGCAAGGAUAGCAUCGCCACGACAAAUACUGAAGGAUCAAAGAUUGAAGGAACUCACACAUCACCCCAUGUUAGAAUGCGCGAUAAGGGAAAAGCAGUUUCAGUUGACAACUCUAGGUAUGAUAGCACUGGCAAACGGUUGCCAAUCAACCUCGCAAAACAGAGGGAGCGAAUUCCAACUGUCGAAGGAAACAUUGAUGUCAGGGCCAACAUUAUUUUCCUUGACAGAGAUUAUUUAGAAGAUUCUGAUCACCAUAUCCUGCACGAAACUAGUUCAACAAUGUCUCCUACUGAAAGUUCGACUGGAAAACACAGCCCUUUAGAGUUGGAGUCUAAAUGCCUGCUAGCUUUUAGGAGGCAAAGGGGAUUUUAGCUGCAGGUUUACAGAAGUUCUAGUGGUACUUCAGUACUUUAGGUCUGAAUUGGUUUCAAUUUGAAAUAGAUAUCAAGUGGUCAGCUUUUUGCAUUUCGGAAAUCCUGUGCUACUUCUUUGCAAUGAAGUCUGCCUGCAUCCUGAGUCCUCAAUCAUUCUUUUAGCAUUUUUAGAAGGGACUAUGAUGGACUAGCUGGCAUGCCCUCCCACCACCACUUUUUAUAAGGUUUUAUUUGUUUGUUUUAUAUAUGCUGUUAGCAUUUUUAUAUAUGCUGUUAGUCCACCACUUUGUUUGUUUUA